rnacentral:lncRNA from 1 species
GGAAGAUUUCAGCCAGUCUGCAUCAGAUAUGUUCCAGUUGUUGACAAUAAAUACAUAUUGUUUCUCUUGUAAUAUGACUUUUUCUGGGUUUCUGCUAGUUCUGUUUCUAGGCGUGUAAUUUAUCUGUCUUGCAGUGACUGUGAGGGGAGUGGCAGGAUCUGGCUGGGUGAGGUGAGCUACCUCCUUUGUGAGCACUUUGUUUUCAGUCUGACUCAGUGCAAGCCGUAACCCUGGCACCGAGUGUAAGGUCACAGCUUUGGUGACUUCAGCACAUCACCCCAGCUCUGGGGAAGACUGGAUCCUCCUAGGGACGAGGGAGACUGGAAACCGCCUUGCUGAAAAUGAGCAAAAUUGCAAAUGGAUGAUGCUCUGUAGGCAUUCCUGCCCAGAAAUCUCAUCCAGCUGAGAUUUCAUGUUAUUUCUGUCAAUAACGGGGUAUCACUGUGCGUACGGGUAUCUCUGGUUUCUGUAGAGGGCAUCUGAGGUGCAGGAGAGAAAUGAGUUGCUGAAGGUCUCACGCAAGUCUUGCACUUAAUCUGUGGAAGGAAUCCAGCCACCCUUGUCCCCCAUUUCCACAGUAACGUUCAAGCUUCAGGAAAGCUACAGAGUAGUAAACAACUGCUGGGAAUAAAUGAGCUUGUCAUGCUAAGCGUACUCCUAAAGGGAUGCUGUGCUACCUCUUUUUUCUUUAUAAAAAACAGCUGGCCCACAGUGGCUGUAGUAUCUAAGCCUAGGAUAAAAGAGGAUUGAAGUCUCCCAGUGCUAACAGGGUAUCUCAAGCUGCCUUGUGGCCUGCAGGUGAUUGAGAGCACAUGUAGCUCUACUGCUAACAGCACACGAGCUGCUUGGUGAACUCUUUUUCCAUUGGCAGCUUUUACUGCAUAGGCAGGAGGUGUCUCUUCAACCAGUGCCUCUCAAUCUGCCUUCUCCUCUCUUCUCUUCCAUUGACUCAGGUUCAGAAUCUGCAGAAUGACACUGAAAGCACAGCCUAGUACUAGGAGUUCUGCUUCGGUCCAGAGUGUCUCUGCUUUCAUGGAACUGCAACAGUAUGAUCUCUGCUUGCUUCUAAGAGAAAUAAGGAGCUGUAAGGACGUACAGCCCUCUGCUCCUCUGAAGCACGGCUGGAUACAGCACACUGCGAACAGCACUCCAGCCAGCCCCCGCGUGCUACCAGCUGUGAGAGAGGGCAGCAGCUGCACCUCUCAGCCAUACAGCAACUGCAGCAGGCCCUGA